rnacentral:rRNA from 1 species
AUACGGAGGGUGCAAGCGUUGUUCGGAAUUACUGGGCGUAAAGCGCGCGUAGGCGGUCUGUUAUGUCAGAUGUGACAGUCCUCGGCUCAACCGGGGAAGUGCAUUUGAAACUGGCAGACUUGAGUACUGGAGGGGGUGGUGGAAUUCCCGGUGUAGAGGUGAAAUUCGUAGAUAUCGGGAGGAAUACCGGUGGCGAAGGCGACCACCUGGCCAGAUACUGACGCUGAGGUGCGAAAGCGUGGGGAGCAAACAGGAUUAGAUACCCGAGUAGUCC